rnacentral:rRNA from 1 species
ACGGUGAAGCAGGGCUUGCUCUGUGGAUCAGUGGCGAACGGGUGAGUAACACGUGAGCAACCUGCCCCGGACUCUGGGAUAACAGUUGGAAACAGCUGCUAAUACCGGAUACGAGCUGCGAAGGCAUCUUCAGCAGUUGGAAAGAAUUUCGGUCUGGGAUGGGCUCGCGGCCUAUCAGCUUGUUGGUGAGGUAAUGGCUCACCAAGGCGUCGACGGGUAGCCGGCCUGAGAGGGUGACCGGCCACACUGGGACUGAGACACGGCCCAGACUCCUACGGGAGGCAGCAGUGGGGAAUAUUGCACAAUGGGCGAAAGCCUGAUGCAGCAACGCCGCGUGAGGGAUGACGGCCUUCGGGUUGUAAACCUCUUUUAGCAGGGAAGAAGCGAAAGUGACGGUACCUGCAGAAAAAGCGCCGGCUAACUACGUGCCAGCAGCCGCGGUAAUACGUAGGGCGCAAGCGUUAUCCGGAAUUAUUGGGCGUAAAGAGCUCGUAGGCGGUUUGUCGCGUCUGCUGUGAAAUCCCGAGGCUCAACCUCGGGCCUGCAGUGGGUACGGGCAGACUAGAGUGCGGUAGGGGAGAUUGGAAUUCCUGGUGUAGCGGUGGAAUGCGCAGAUAUCAGGAGGAACACCGAUGGCGAAGGCAGAUCUCUGGGCCGUAACUGACGCUGAGGAGCGAAAGGGUGGGGAGCAAACAGGCUUAGAUACCCUGGUAGUCCACCCCGUAAACGUUGGGAACUAGUUGUGGGGUCCAUUCCACGGAUUCCGUGACGCAGCUAACGCAUUAAGUUCCCCGCCUGGGGAGUACGGCCGCAAGGCUAAAACUCAAAGGAAUUGACGGGGACCCGCACAAGCGGCGGAGCAUGCGGAUUAAUUCGAUGCAACGCGAAGAACCUUACCAAGGCUUGACAUAUAGAGGAAACGGCUGGAAACAGUCGCCCCGCAAGGUCUCUAUACAGGUGGUGCAUGGUUGUCGUCAGCUCGUGUCGUGAGAUGUUGGGUUAAGUCCCGCAACGAGCGCAACCCUCGUUCUAUGUUGCCAGCACGUAAUGGUGGGAACUCAUGGGAUACUGCCGGGGUCAACUCGGAGGAAGGUGGGGAUGACGUCAAAUCAUCAUGCCCCUUAUGUCUUGGGCUUCACGCAUGCUACAAUGGCCGGUACAAAGGGCUGCAAUACCGUGAGGUGGAGCGAAUCCCAAAAAGCCGGUCCCAGUUCGGAUUGAGGUCUGCAACUCGACCUCAUGAAGUCGGAGUCGCUAGUAAUCGCAGAUCAGCAACGCUGCGGUGAAUACGUUCCCGGGUCUUGUACACACCGCCCGUCAAGUCAUGAAAGUCGGUAACACCUGAAGCCGGUGGCCCAACCCUU